CAACGGGAUGCCUUAGUACGGCGAGUGAAGCGGCAAAAGCUCAAAUUUGAAAUCUGGCACCUUCGGUGUCCGAGUUGUAAUUUGAAGAAGGUAACUUUGGAGUUGGCUCUUGUCUAUGUUCCUUGGAACAGGACGUCACAGAGGGUGAGAAUCCCGUGCGAUGAGAUGCCCAAUUCUAUGUAAAGUGCUUUCGAAGAGUCGAGUUGUUUGGGAAUGCAGCUCUAAGUGGGUGGUAAAUUCCAUCUAAAGCUAAAUAUUGGCGAGAGACCGAUAGCGAACAAGUACAGUGAUGGAAAGAUGAAAAGAACUUUGAAAAGAGAGUGAAAAAGUACGUGAAAUUGUUGAAAGGGAAGGGCUUGAGAUCAGACUUGGUAUUUUGCGAUCCUUUCCUUCUUGGUUGGGUUCCUCGCAGCUUACUGGGCCAGCAUCGGUUUGGAUGGUAGGAUAAUGACUACGGAAUGUGGCUCUACUUCGGUGGAGUGUUAUAUCCUUGGUUGAUACUGCCCGUCUA
rnacentral:rRNA from 1 species